rnacentral:rRNA from 1 species
GACGAACGCUGGCGGCGUGCUUAACACAUGCAAGUCGAACGGUAAGGCCCUUCGGGGUACACGAGUGGCGAACGGGUGAGUAACACGUGGGUGAUCUGCCCUGCACUUCGGGAUAAGCCUGGGAAACUGGGUCUAAUACCGGAUAGGACCACUGCCUGCAUGGGUGGUGGUGGAAAGCUUUUGCGGUGUGGGAUGGGCCCGCGGCCUAUCAGCUUGUGGGUGGGGUGGUGGCCCACCAAGGCGACGACGGGUAGCCGGCCUGAGAGGGUGACGGGCCACACUGAGACUGAGAUACGGCCCAGACUCCUACGGGAGGCAGCAGUGGGGAAGAUUGCACAAUGGGCGCAAGCCUGAUGCAGCGACGCCGCGUGAGGGAUGACGGCCUUCGGGUUGUAAACCUCUUUCAGCACCGACGAAGCGCAAGUGACGGUAGGUGCAGAAGAAGGACCGGCCAACUACGUGCCAGCCGCCGCGGUAA